GAGUCAUAAACACUUGUAUAAAUGAUAUUGUAUAAAUUGAUGUAGCAAGAUAUCACUGUUUGAUAAAAAUAUAAAAAAAUAUUAACAAAUUUUUAUACGAAUUGAUGUGGCGUGAUUAAAUUAAUUAGAUUAAACACUUCUUGACUCGCAUGAUUUGUUUUUACAAUAAAUUAUGCCACAUCAGUUUGUAUAAAAGUUUGUAACUCUAUCAUCACUAUUUCAAUUAAUGAUAUUAUGUCAAAUUAAUUUGUACAAUACAAAAAUGCUCGUGGCUACAUCAUUAUUUAUUCAAAGUUGAAUGGUUUUGGCUUUGGAAAGUGCAUAUGGAUCAAAUUGCUCGGUGAAUGAAUGCUAGGAACCCAAUGUGAGCAUUGACUAUUAUCUAAUGGUAACAUAAUAUUGCGAAUCAAUCAUUUUAAGAUUGAUCAUUAUUUUUAAGAACCAGUAACUAAUUUUACUUUUGUUUGAACAUUUUCUUUUUAUCAUAAUUUCGCAGCUCUAAUGUGAGGUGUUGGCUGGCAGGAAAAAG
rnacentral:lncRNA from 1 species